CAGCAGCCACGGUAAUACGUAGGGUGCAAGCGUUAAUCGGAAUUACUGGGCGUAAAGCGUGCGCAGGCGGUUAUAUAAGACAGAUGUGAAAUCCCCGGGCUCAACCUGGGAACUGCAUUUGUGACUGUAUAGCUAGAGUACGGCAGAGGGGGAUGGAAUUCCGCGUGUAGCAGUGAAAUGCGUAGAUAUACGGAGGAACACCGAUGGCGAAGGCAAUCCCCUGGGCCUGUACUGACGCUCAUGCACGAAAGCGUGGGGAGCAAACAGGAUUAGAUACCCGCGUAGUCCCUGUCUCUUAUAC
rnacentral:rRNA from 1 species